rnacentral:lncRNA from 13 species
ACAAUCCCAACAAUGGGUAUACUCAGAACAUUUCUCCUAUGAGUUCACUAAGAAACAAAUACAAGAUAAAGCUAUGCACAGUGGCACACACCUGUAGUCCCAGCUAUUCAGGAGGCUGAGGAAGGAGGAUCACUCGUGCCCAGGAGUUUGAGUCCAACCUGGACAACAUAAAGAGACCCCAUAUUUAAACAAAAGAACUUAAUUGUGGCAGCAUUGUUUGUGGUAUCAAAUACAGAAGUAUCCACCAGAGGAGAAUAGAUAAGUAAAAUGGGUCUGGACUCCAAGAGACUGAGGAGAGGAAAGGGAAGAGGAGAGAGAAGGAGAGAAGAGAAGUCAUUUUCAGUCUUUUGCUGUGUGCUGGGUGCUGCUGAGGGUGCACUACGGAGGAGGUUGAGCGCUGAGUAUGGGACAAAGCAGCCCCUAACAGAGGAGCCCAUCAUCUCACCGCCCCGUGAAAAGCAGAAGCAGAGACGUCUGUUUGCAGAUAGAGUGAGUUGUUUCAUCACAGCCACUUCUCCAUGGUUUCCAAACUUCAUAAACAAUGACUUAAAGGAAACUGGGUUAAAAUUACAGCAUAAAGAAAAGUCUUGCACAGAAGGACUUUCCAGCUCUGAGGAGUUAUAAGCGCUGGACUGUAUCUCUGAGCAGAGGGAAAAGAGUGUAUUUAUUCUGUUUAUUUAAACUCCGCUUUGGAUAAAUAACUCCCUCUGUGGAAAUGUAAACACAGCACCUCUUCCUCAUUAUAUAGUCACAAUUUCCAACUCUAUGUCAUCUCCUCUAUCAUCACUGAGUAUAUGUAAUUUUUAUGGAGAUACAAUCCCUGUGAUGCUUGCUUCCUACCAUUCUGUUUUUGCUCAACAUUUUACAUAUAUUUUCUACAUAGCAGCACAGUCUAAAUAUUUGCUAUUUUACAGAGCUACACAGUGAUACAGUAUAAUAAGAAUGGCUCACGCUUACAUAGUAAUUACGAUUCAUCAGGCACUGUUCUAACCGCUUUCCCCAUUUUUACUUAUUAAAUGUUUCCUCACUAAAGCCCUCUGAGGUGGGUGCCAUCUCUCUAGUCUGGCUUCAAAGUAAAGCAAAGCGUGAAGCAAAGGAUUCCAUACACUACUUUAUUCAAGGUGCAAUUCCAGGGAGGCAAGAGUGAAGGAAAAGCAGUGUGAGGCAGGGAAUGGGGAAAAAUCCAUAAG